AAGCUCUGGAAAAGCCACCUUGCCAUCCCCUCUCUGCCCCCAAUGUCUGUAUAGACACACAGACCUCUCUGAGCUCCGUAUUCCCAAUGCACUGUUGGAAUUCUUCCCCCUAAACACGCACGCGCUUCAGGUCCCCGGAGCUCUGUGUGACGCGUGUCCUGGGAGUUGUACCUUGGAACUACGCCUGUCUGUUGAACUUCAUAGCAGGAUUUUCUGGAUUUCACCUCUGAGGAAAUGAGAUGCUCCAUGGAGUGGAGCCACUGCAAGUUCCUGCUCCACGAGUUACACAGCACUGACCCAAGCAGACACAGCAUCGUGGCAGCUGUAGAGCUUUGCUUGGGGAAGCACAUGUAACUGAGGUGGUUGUAAGAUACAUGUCCAAAAGGUGCUCUCAGAAGGAUUAACUGCUUACAGCUGCAAAUACCACACAACUUUUUCAUGGCCAGUUGUAGCCUCCAGUGUUAUUCCGAAGCCCUGGAAGUGGGGCAUGUUUGCUUCUUUUCCUGAUUUUUACUGUGAGGUGGGAAAUAAACUUCAACCUUUGAAAAUCUUGGCUAACACUGAGAAAACCUCCCGUAUGGCUCUUCCUUGUGUUUGGAAAAAAAGUAGUCCUUCAUGCAUAGACAGCUCUCUUUUGGGACACUUGGCAAAUAUUAUUUAGCUCAGCCUCUAACUCUUCCUAUAAAGUACGUAAAUGGCUUUUAUUUUCCCCUUUUUAAUUUUCUGUAUUUUUUAUGGUUACACAGACUAAGUAAUUCUACAAGCAGGCAGUAAUGGAACUGAAAACACUGUCCAGCUUUCUGACUUUCUGUCCUGAAGCAUAAAACCAAAGACUCUUCUUAUUGCAAGGAAAACAAAUUAGCAAGAAAGAUAACUCCAAAAUAGAAAUCUUGCUUGAAAUAUAAGACUAUGCCUGAUGUGGGAAGUAUAGGGAUAAUACUGAUUUUUUUAUGCUUAUAAAAUAAAUACAAAUUUGCACACUCAGAACCAUGAAAAAUUACUUGGAAAACACUAAUAUUUUCUCAGAAAUUAUACAUUUCCAACAGCUUCCAAGGAUUUUCAUUACUUUCAGCAUUCAUUCAUAUGAUGAGCCUCUCUUCUGGUUGUAAAUUGGUAUUUUUAGAUGCAGAGAGGGUUAGAGAUUAUACCCCUCUCAAUAUCUGCAAUGAAAUAAUUGAACACGAGAUGUCUGGCAAAAUUUUGAGAAGGCUCAAGGUGUUAAAGAAAGCUCAUCUAAAUAAAGGAGAGUUAACCUGACAUUGCAGUUACUUAAUCCUGUAUUGUCCUGCCAUGUGACUGCAGGGAUACUGAGGCGCAGCAUUUCUUUUGCCUAGGGCACAGGUUUUGCCUUUCCUGUCAUCUUCUAGAAUUAGUUGCUUCGUUAAACCCACCAUGGGAAGGAAACAGAGCGGCAACAAACUUUCUACAGCAAGGCUUCAACACACAGUGACA